CGCCCAUCUAUUAAUACACAAGUACUUUGUGUUAAAUAGCAUUAAAGAAUUCCAAACCUUUCCUCACAUUGCAGGAAAUGAGGGUCAAAAGACAAAAUAUUUCCUCGAGGCAAUUAGUUUUGAAACUACAGUAAAUUUCCCUGUUGAUAAACGAACAAUAUAUUGAACUGCUGACGGCAUUUGAGAUAUACCAUAUUUGUUUUUCACUGUUUACUUAAUC